CCUACGGGAGGCAGCAGUGGGGAAUAUUGGACAAUGGGGGCAACCCUGAUCCAGCCAUGCCGCGUGUGUGAAGAAGGCCCUCGGGUUGUAAAGCACUUUCAGUGAGGAAGAACGCCUGGUGGUUAAUACCCAUCAGGAAAGACAUCACUCACAGAAGAAGCACCGGCUAACUCCGUGCCAGCAGCCGCGGUAAUACGGAGGGUGCGAGCGUUAAUCGGAGUUACUGGGCGUAAAGCGCGCGUAGGUGGCUUGAUAAGCCGGUUGUGAAAGCCCCGGGCUCAACCUGGGAACGGCAUCCGGAACUGUCAAGCUAGAGUGCAGGAGAGGAAGGUAGAAUUCCCGGUGUAGCGGUGAAAUGCGUAGAGAUCGGGAGGAAUACCAGUGGCGAAGGCGGCCUUCUGGACUGACACUGACACUGAGGUGCGAAAGCGUGGGUAGCAAACAGGAUUAGAUACCCGAGUAGUC
rnacentral:rRNA from 1 species